rnacentral:rRNA from 1 species
AAAAAAGGUAAGCUACUAAGAGCGAAUGGUGGAUGCCUUGACUGGUAAAGGCGAUGAAGGACGUACUAGACUGCGAUAAGCUACGGGGAGCUGUCAAGAAGCUUUGAUCCGUAGAUUUCCGAAUGGGGCAACCCAAUGUAUAGAGAUAUACAUUACCUAUAUAGGAGCGAACGAGGGGAAUUGAAACAUCUUAGUACCCUCAGGAAAAGAAAUCAAUAGAGAUUGCGUCAGUAGCGGCGAGCGAAAGCGCAAGAGGGCAAACCCAGUGCUUGCACUGGGGGUUGUAGGACUGCAAUGUGCAAGAGGUGAGUUUAGCAGAACAUUCUGGAAAGUAUAGCCAUAGAGGGUGAUAGUCCCGUAUGCGAAAAACAAACCUUAGCUAGCAGUAUCCUGAGUAGGGCGGGACACGAGAAAUCCUGUCUGAAGCUGGGUCGACCACGAUCCAACCCUAAAUACUAAUACCAGAUCGAUAGUGCACAAGUACCGUGAGGGAAAGGUGAAAAGAACUGAGGUGAUCAGAGUGAAAUAGAACCUGAAACCAUUUGCUUACAAUCAUUCAGAGCCCUAUGUAGCAAUACAGGGUGAUGGACUGCCUUUUGCAUAAUGAGCCUGCGAGUUGUGGUGUCUGGCAAGGUUAAGCAAACGCGAAGCCGUAGCGAAAGCGAGUCUGAAUAGGGCGCUUAGUCAGAUGCUGCAGACCCGAAACGAAGUGAUCUAUCCAUGAGCAAGUUGAAGCUAGUGUAAGAACUAGUGGAGGACUGAACCCAUAGGCGUUGAAAAGCCCCGGGAUGACUUGUGGAUAGGGGUGAAAGGCCAAUCAAACUUCGUGAUAGCUGGUUCUCUCCGAAAUAUAUUUAGGUAUAGCGUUGUGUCGUAAUAUAAGGGGGUAGAGCACUGAAUGGGCUAGGGCAUACACCAAUGUACCAAACCCUAUCAAACUCCGAAUACCUUAUAUGUAAUCACAGCAGUCAGGCGGCGAGUGAUAAAAUCCGUCGUCAAGAGGGAAACAACCCAGACUACCAGCUAAGGUCCCUAAAUCUUACUUAAGUGGAAAACGAUGUGAAGUUACUUAAACAACCAGGAGGUUGGCUUAGAAGCAGCCAUCCUUUAAAGAAAGCGUAAUAGCUCACUGGUCUAGUGAUUUUGCGCGGAAAAUAUAACGGGGCUAAAGUAAGUACCGAAGCUGUAGACUUGCGCACAACUUAGAUUAUUUAAGUUUAGAAUAUGAGAAACUAAGUUAUAUGUUUAGUUAUAUUUUUACUGAUUUUUAUAGAGUAAAGAUAGAAAUAAAACUUAGUAAAAUCAGUAAAAAUAUUCUUAGACUAAAGUUAAGUAGUUUAAGUUGUGUGCAAGUGGUAGGAGAGCGUUCUAUUUGCGUCGAAGGUAUACCGGUAAGGAGUGCUGGAGCGAAUAGAAGUGAGCAUGCAGGCAUGAGUAGCGAUAAUUAAUGUGAGAAUCAUUAACGCCGUAAACCCAAGGUUUCCUACGCGAUGCUCGUCAUCGUAGGGUUAGUCGGGUCCUAAGUCGAGUCCGAAAGGGGUAGACGAUGGCAAAUUGGUUAAUAUUCCAAUACCAACAUUAGUGUGCGAUGGAAGGACGCUUAGGGCUAAGGGGGCUAGCGGAUGGAAGUGCUAGUCUAAGGUCGUAGGAGGUUAUACAGGCAAAUCCGUAUAACAAUACUCCGAGAACUGAAAGGCUUUUUGAAGUCUUCGGAUGGAUAGAAGAACCCCUGAUGCCGUCGAGCCAAGAAAAGUUUCUAAGUUUAGCUAAUGUUGCCCGUACCGUAAACCGACACAGGUGGGUGGGAUGAGUAUUCUAAGGCGCGUGGAAGAACUCUCUUUAAGGAACUCUGCAAAAUAGCACCGUAUCU